rnacentral:rRNA from 1 species
GGAUUAGAUACCCUGGUAGUCCACGCCCUAAACGAUGAGAACUAGCUGUUGGGGGAAUAAAGUCCUUUAGUAGCGCAGCAAACGCGAUAAGUUCUCCGCCUGGGGAGUACGGCCGCAAGGUUAAAACUCAAAUGAAUUGACGGGGGCCCGCACAAGCGGUGGAGCAUGUGGUUUAAUUCGAUGCAACGCGAAGAACCUUACCUAGCCUUGACAUCCUGAGAAUCUUCGAGAGAUUGAAGAGUGCCUUCGGGAACUUAGAGACAGGUGCUGCAUGGCUGUCGUCAGCUCGUGCCG